GCCUGACUGGCUCAGUCUGUAGAGCAUGCAGCUCUAGAUCUCAGGGUCAUGAGUUCAAGCCCCAUGUUGGGCA
rnacentral:tRNA from 1 species